rnacentral:lncRNA from 1 species
UUUUUUUUUUUUUCUUUUUUGGCUGAACCGCAGCACAUGGAGUUCCCAGGCCAAGGAUCAGAUCCAAGCCACAGCUAUGACCUAAGCUACAGCUGUGGCAACACCAGACCCCUGACCCUCUGUGCGGGGCCAGGAAUCGAACCUGCAUCCCAGUGCCCCCAAGACACUGCUGAUCCCAUUGUGCCACAGCAGGAACUCCGAUUUGUAUUCUUUAAUAUCCUUUUAUGAAAUCUUGGUAAUUUACUAAGUAAACAGGUUCUCCUAAGUUUUGUAAGCCAUUCUAGCAAAUUAAUUGAGCCCAAGGAGGGGGACAUAGGAACCGCGGAUUUAUAACAGGGUGGUCAGAAGCACAGGUAACAACCUGCGCUUGUGUCUCAUGGGACUGAGCGCUUUACCUGUGGAAUGUGCUUCUAUCUCCAGGUAGAUAGUGUGAGAGUUGAGCUGAGUUCUCAGAAUUGUGCUGGCAUCCAGAAUUUCUUGGUGAUGUGGGGAAGCAUCCACACACACACUAGAAUUGGGUCGGGCAACAUUUCUGGGAUAUCUCAAACCAUACACCAAAAUAAACUCCAAGUGGCUCAAGAUUUACAUGUGAAAAAAUGAAAACCUAAGAGUAUGAGAAGAAAAUACAAGAGGAUUAAUUUAUAAUCUGGGGAAAAGCCUUUGUGAGCAUGACAUAAAACACAGAAGCUACAAAAGGCAAGCUAAGUAUGAACGGUAUGAAUACAUUUUUAAAAUUCUGCUCAGAAAAAAAAAUCGCCAAAAACAAACUCAAAAGUCAUGAAAAACAGGGAACAACUAUUUGCAUUCCAACAAAUAGAUAAGAAAGAGACCAAUAACCCAAUUGAAAAUGGGCAAAGGAUAUGAACAGACAGUUCCCAGGAAAGGAAUUCCAAAUCGCUUUUAAAUAUAUGAAAAUAUGCUCAACCUUCUCCGUAAUAAGGGAAAUGCAAAUUACAACUACCAGAUUGGCAGACAUAAAUUUUGCUAACACCAUGUGGCUAAAGGUUAGAGAAACAGAUGCUCUCACAUAUUGCUGGUGAGAGUACAAACCGGCUCAAUCCCUGGAGAGAACAAUUUGACAAUAUUUAUCAAAAUGCAUGUUUUGGCAGGCACCAUUAGUUUAUACCCCAAAAUCAUUCCUCCAUAUUCCUUGCUAACAGAGUCCAGGUGCUCAGGUGGCAGUGUGCCAAGCUCCAAGCAAUAAGUUUAUUUAUUAAUUCAUUCAUAUUUAUUAAGCUCUUGCUAUGUACGAGGCACUUGCUGUGUACUGGGCUCUGCGGAUACAAUACUGAAUGAAGCGGACCACACUCCAGGCUUCAUAAUAAUCCUGAACCUGAUUGAAAUUCCAGAGCAAAAUGGCAACUGUGGCAUUUUGAUGUACAUUUGAAAUAAUAGAUGACCAUAAGAUUUUUCCUUCAAACUAGGACUUGGGAGUGCAGGGUGGCAAGCACACCCACGGCAUGUGGAAGUUCCCGGGGUGGGGAUAAAAUUUAACAGCUGGAGCAAUGCCAGAUCCUUAACCCACUGAGCCAGUUGGGGGAAUUUUUCCAUACCUCUGCAGCAACCCAGGCCAAUGCAGUUGGAUCCUUAACCCACUAUGCCACAGUGGGAACUCCCAAAUUGAGACACUUUUGAGAGUGAAUAAAGUGCUAUUAAUAAAAUACACUGGGGGAGUUCCCAUCGUGGUUCAGCGGAAACAAAUCUGACUAGUAUCCAUGAGGACACAGAUUCAAUCCCUGGCCUCACUGAGUGGGUUAAGGAUCUGGCAUUGCUGUGAGCUGUGGUGCAAGCCAGUGGCUAUGGCUCGGAUCUGACCCCUAGCCUAGGAACCUCCCUGCAUAGGCUGUGGGCACAGCCAUAAAAAGCAAAAAUAAAGUAAAAUAUACUGGAACAAAGAGGCACAAACUAGGAUUGUCACAAGCAAACUAGGAAAUACGGUCGCUGCUGAUAAUCCUGUUGCCACCAUCUCAGUUUCUGUUCUAAAAUGACUCCACUAGGGAAUUAGGGAAAAAAGUGAGACCCAAAUGAGCUCUGGAGAAGUACGAAUGACAAAUACAUAUGAAAAGACACUCAACCUCUUUAAUUAGGAGGAAAAGCUGGAAUUAAGUCAGCAAUAGGACGCUUUGAAAGAACUUGAGGGAGUUCCCGUCGUGGCGCAGUGGUUAACGAAUCCGACUAGGAACCAUGAGGUUGCGGGUUCGAUCCCUGCCCUUGCUCAGUGGGUUAACGAUCCGGCGUUGCCGUGAGCUGUGGUGUAGGUUGCAGACGCGGCUCGGAUCCCGCGUUGCUGUGGCUCUGGCGUAGGCCGGUGGCUACAGCUCCGAUUAGACCCCUAGCCUGGGAACCUCCAUAUGCCUCAGGUGCAGCCCUAGAAAAGACAAAAAAACAUGUAUAUAUAUUUCUUAUGUAGAUUUAAUCCCCAGGCCCAACAGAGACUCUAAGAGGGUAGAAACAAAGCUUUGCUUUCCCAACAUCUAUUCAAGUAAAACUAUAAAGCCUGGGACCCCAUCAAUCCUUAAACAAUCCAAAAAUAUUCUUUGUCUACACUGGUUAGUAGGUUGGUUUUUUAGUGGGAAAUGUAAUUUUUAAAGACACAUAAUUUGGGAGUUCCUGCUGUGGCGCCAUGGGUUAAGAACCCACAAUGGCUGGGGUAGCUGUGGAGGUGUGGGUCCAACCCGCAGCCCCUGGUACAGUGGGUUGAAGGAGCUGGCAUUGCCUUAUAGGCCACAGCUGGGACUCAGAUUCAGUCCCUGGCCCAGGAACUUCCAUACUGCUGCAGGUGUGGCCAUUAAAAAAAAAAGUAGCUUGACGAAAAUACCAUAUGAAGAAAUAAAAACAAAAAGGUCUUUCUGUAACAGCUCACAUUAUACUGAUAAAGCUCAAAGUGGCAGAAAUCAUUAUCACAGCCAAGCUAAAGCCUAGGUACCCAGACCACUUUCAUCUAAUUUAUUUGAAACUAAUCCAAAAUAUUGACUUAUGUCUUAAUUUAGAACAAAAUUUGAUUUCCUUAGUUUCAGAACCCAGAAACCGGUGCCAAAUGCUUUGAAAAUUGACUUUAUUAUUGGCUUCAAAAAAAUAUUCAGAUACUGACUUUGUUUUUUUAAAAAUAAGUUUCCAGACCUAUGAUUUCAAAGACUAAACCUGCCAAACUUGUUGGCGUGAGAUUCCUUCCUCUACGAUUCCAGACAUUCUCUUGGCAGCAUCACCAUGUGGGAAAAGCACGGUGUAAAAAUGGCCGUUGUCUCUGUGGGUUACUGUCUGGCUAUACCUCACUCGGACACCAGAGGGCGCGCAAAGGAACAGCGCUUGUUUUUCUUUCAAUCCUGCAUCAAAGUCCGUGCACAAAAUAACAAAAGACUGGGAACACAAGAGCCGGGAGACAAAGGGACAAGGGAAAAAGGCUGCACGCCCUGUUUUACGGCCGGUGAAGUUUGCUUCCUCAUCCACCCACCUCCCCGCCUCAAGGAACUAGAUGUAAACAACUUAAGCUGCAAAAUAAUGAAAUCUUGAACUAACAAAGAAAAUCAAAGAAUAGUCACCCUAGUUCUAGGAAAGACUAUCACAGGUGUGCAUUUGACCUAUCUGCUCUGCUUGAUAUUAGCAACUUUUCCCAAAAAGUAUUCGUUUUUCUGAGUUCAUGAAUAAUACAUGCACAGAGUAGAAAAUAUAGAAAAGCAAAAGAUCAUCAAAUACUCUAACCCAGAGAUAAUUACUAUUAAUAUUUUCGCAUAUUUCUUUCCAGCCUUUUUUCAAUAUCUAGAAAUGCAUAGAAAAACAGUACUCUAUUAUUUUGUGCUGGCUCUUCGCAUUUACUAUAUCACUCUAUUAUUUUGUGCUGGCUCUCUUCCCAUCAACUCCAUCUUUGCCAAUAAAUUCCGGUAACGUAACUUUGCUAAUCACAUGAGUGAAUCAGAGGAGAAAAAGAAAUUUCAAAAGUGCUACAGAUAGCUUUUUCCCCAAGUUAAGAACUCGAAGGCCAAAUUCCGAGUCGCACAUUUGGAGGAGGAAUUUUUCUUUAGCGUUUAGAAAAGGAAGCAGGUAAAGAGCAAAGAAAGGAGAAACUAUUUCAUUCACACCCCAAAUAAGGCGCAUGAACCUGUCCUUCUUGGCUGCCUGAGGAUGACUCCAAGAGGCCAGGAGGGAAAGUAAAUCACUAAGACCGCUUGGUGCUGCCAGUGCGGCCAGCUCAUGCCUUAAGGUCAAAGAGAUCAAUCCGCACAGCUACUGAUGCUGGCGGGUCUGCAGGUGGCCAGCAAAACCAAGAAAAAAGUCAGGAACAGCAAGGUCAGUGACCUUGAGGCUUGGGGCUGGCACCAGCAGGUGGUUUCCUCAGAAAUCGGAAAGGAAGCUAGACCUGGCCCCUGGCAGACAGCCACAGGGAAAGUGAGGCCACGACCUGAGGCCCUGGAACACGGCCCCUCGCCCAGCCCGACGGGUAAUCGCUCUGUCCGCAGAGUUCUUUGUUUCAGUCGAGCAAAAAAGGGAAGCCUGGCGUUCUCUCUCAGCCCUGGGAAUUUAGGAAAGUCACUGAGCUCCCCAAGCCUCAGUCUCAUCUGUAUAAAUGAAAAGGUGGAAGAGAGCUAAGGUUCCUGCUAGCUCUCAAAGCCCGUGAGUUUUCACUGGACCCAACUGUGCACAGCAAUGAAAAGUAAAGACAUGCCCUGCCCACCACAACCCAUGAGCAGCAGCCCCUCUACUUGCUUUUCCCAGAUCCCCACAUACUCCUUCCCAAGCUCUGUGCCUUGGUGCUGCCCCCUUGCAGAAGUGCGGGAAAGCCUUGCCCCUCCUCUUUCCAAGUUCAUCACCCUUUCAAGGCCCAGCUGGGCUUUCUUCAAGCACUUCAGGCCGAGAAAGUUCUUCCUUCUCUGAAUUCCACAGGAUUUUGUGCAUACUUUCAUUGCUUUCUACCUGUGUGACCUUAGCCUGCCUGUGCCCCAGUUUCCUCAUCUGUAAAAGGGGGAGCAUUAUUCUAUCAAAUUCAAAGGAUUGUGAUGGGAUUAAUGGUUAACACAUGUAAACCACUUAAAGCAGAGCCUACACUUAGUAGGUUCUCCAUAAGCCUGGACUAUGCCUCCAUCAUGACACUUAAUAAAAUAACAUUUAAUCAAUUAUAUUAUAACUAUCAGAUAAAGGAUCCAUCUACCCCAUGAUCUCAAGAGGGGAAGUGAGGAGUUCCGGUUGUGGCUCAGGAGGUUAAGAACCGGACAGGGUUCAUGAGAGUGUGGGUUUGAUCCCUGGCCUUCCUCAGCGGGUUAAGGAUCUUGCCUUGCUGAAAGCUGUGGUGUGUGGGUCACAGAUGUGGCUGGGAUCUCAUGUGGCUGUGGCGUAGGCCAGCAGCCGCUCCAAUUCAACCCCUGGCCCAGGAACUUGCACAGGUGCAGCCUAAGAAGAAAAACAGGAGGGGAAGUGAGUUUUACCCAUAUUUUUCUCUCUAAUGCUUAGCUUCAGGCCUGGCAGAAAGAAUAAAUCAAUAAAGGUUUUUUGUUUGUUUGUUUGUGUUUUAAUAAGAAGGAAGAGAAGACUGGAAGCUUUUAUGUGUUUGUUUCCCUUUUUGCCACACACGCAGUAUGUGGGAAUUCCUGGGCCAGGGAUUGAACCUAUAACGCACAGCAGCAACCAGAACCACAGUGGUGAGAACACAGAAACUUCAAAUCGCUAGGCUAUCAGAGAACGCUCAAUGAAAGGUUGAUUGAACUAGAGGACACACUUUUGCCUCUUGGUUUUCACUUUGGAUUAUUGUUUAAAUAAAUUAGGCUAAGAAAUGGUGAAGUAUGAUUUUUUUUUCCCCUUAAUAAUCUAAACAUAUAUACAUCCAGGUCUAUCUUCCAGGCCCAAAUCAUAAAUACUCACUUGUGAAUUUUAAUGUUUAUAGAGGAUUAAUUCCCAUAUUUGCAUGGGAAAUUUUUAGUUUUAAUAAUGUUUCUGUGAGUGAAUGAUAAUAGAAUCCAAAAACUACAAUUUAGGCUCUUCUUUAAUUAUGGGGAGGAAGGAAAGGAAGAAGCAAAGUUGGGUAACAAGCGAGCUCAAGUUUUUGUUCAAAGGUUGGAUUGAGGAAGUGAGCAUAAUAGAGAAAAAGGAGAAGAUACACAAGAAACCAGGUCAUGCACGCUCUAAUAAAAACAAAAGUUACGUAAGAGAAUGAAAAGACGAGACACAGCCUGGAAGAACAUACAUCUCCCAAGAUAUAUAUUAUAUGUGUUGAUAUGUGUAUAUAUNNNNNNNNNNNNNNNNNNNNNNNNNNNNNNNNNNNNNNNNNNNNNNNNNNNNNNNNNNNNNNNNNNNNNNNNNNNNNNNNNNNNNNNNNNNNNNNNNNNNNNNNNNNUGUGGUACAUAUACAUAAUGGAAUAUUACUCAGCCAUAAAAAGGAAUGAAAUAAUGGUAUUAGCAGCAACAUGGAUGGACCUAAAAAUUAUCAUGCUUAGUGAAGACGCCAAGGUCACAUGCUAUCGCUUAUAUGUGAAAUCUUUAAAAAGAAUACAAUGAACUUUGAAGGACAGAUAUUGACUCACGGAUUUUGAAAAACAUGGGUUUUCAAAGGAGACAGGAUGGGGGUUGGGGGGAUGGUCUGGGGGUUUGGGAUGGAAAUGCUAUAAAACUGGCUUGUGAUGAUUGUUGUACAACUGUAAAUGUAAUAAAAUUCAUUGAGUUAAAAAAAAAAGAACUCUCAAACUCAAUAAUAAGAAAACAACACAAUAUUUAAAUGGGCAAAAGAUUCUGAUAUUAAAUAAAUCCAUGAAUAUGCUCAAUACCAUUAAUCAUUAGGGAAAGGCAUAUUAAAACUACAGUGAGGGAGUUCCCAC